rnacentral:snRNA from 1 species
GGAUGUGAGGAUAAUCUGGCUGUGACAUCUGUCACCCCAUUGAUCGCCAGGGUUGAUUUGGCUGAUCUGGCUGGCUAGGAGGUUGUUCCCUUCCCCCCUCACUGCUCCACGUGCAUCCCUCCUGAAGUGGUCAAAGAGAACGACCUUCCCCGAAUAAAGGAGGACCCAUCUCCGGUCAAGGGUUUAUAAGUGGCUGCGUUCCCCUGCUUGAACCUCCAAACCAGCUCUCAAAGCCACCCUGAGUCUACAGAGUGAAUUCCAGGUCAGCCUGAACUAGAGUGAGACCCUUCCUC